rnacentral:rRNA from 1 species
AGAGUUUGAUUCUGGCUCAGGAUGAACGCUAGCGGCAGGCCUAACACAUGCAAGUCGAGGGGUAACGAUUUCGAGUAAUCGAAAGGCGACGACCGGCGCACGGGUGAGUAACGCGUAUGCAACCUACCUCUAACAGGAGAAUAGCUCCCGGAAACGGGAAUUAAUACUCCAUAAUAUUGCGAGAUCGCAUGAUUUUGCAAUUAAAGCUCCGGCGGUUAGAGAUGGGCAUGCGUGACAUUAGUUUGUUGGUGAGGUAACGGCUCACCAAGACUGCGAUGUCUAGGGGGUCUGAGAGGAUGGUCCCCCACACUGGUACUGAGACACGGACCAGACUCCUACGGGAGGCAGCAGUGAGGAAUAUUGGGCAAUGGACGCAAGUCUGACCCAGCCAUGCCGCGUGCAGGAUGACGGCCCUAUGGGUUGUAAACUGCUUUUAUUUGGGAAGAACUCCCCCAACGUGUUGGGGGCUGACGGUACCAAAAGAAUAAGCAUCGGCUAACUCCGUGCCAGCAGCCGCGGUAAUACGGAGGAUGCAAGCGUUAUCCGGAUUUAUUGGGUUUAAAGGGUGCGUAGGCGGGAAAUUAAGUCAGUGGUGAAAUCCUACAGCUUAACUGUAGAACUGCCAUUGAAACUGAUUUUCUUGAGUGCAGUUGAGGUGGGCGGAACGUAUAAUGUAGCGGUGAAAUGCUUAGAUAUUAUACAGAACACCGAUUGCGUAGGCAGCUCACUAAACUGUAACUGACGCUCAGGCACGAAAGCGUGGGUAGCGAACAGGAUUAGAUACCCUGGUAGUCCACGCCGUAAACGAUGAUCACUCGUUGUUGGCAAUACAUCGUCAGCGACUAAGCAAAAGCAUUAAGUGAUCCACCU